rnacentral:rRNA from 1 species
AUUGAACGCUGGCGGCAGGCCUAACACAUGCGAGUCGAGCGGAUGAAGGGAGCUUGCUCCUGGAUUCAGCGGCGGACGGGUGAGUAAUGCCUAGGAAUCUGCCUGGUAGUGGGGGAUAACGUCCGGAAACGGGCGCUAAUACCGCAUACGUCCUGAGGGAGAAAGUGGGGGAUCUUCGGACCUCACGCUAUCAGAUGAGCCUAGGUCGGAUUAGCUAGUUGGUGGGGUAAAGGCCUACCAAGGCGACGAUCCGUAACUGGUCUGAGAGGAUGAUCAGUCACACUGGAACUGAGACACGGUCCAGACUCCUACGGGAGGCAGCAGUGGGGAAUAUUGGGCAAUGGGCGAAAGCCUGAUCCAGCCAUGCCGCGUGUGUGAAGAAGGUCUUCGGAUUGUAAAGCACUUUAAGUUGGGAGGAAGGGCAGUAAGUUAAUACCUUGCUGUUUUGACGUUACCAACAGAAUAAGCACCGGCUAACUUCGUG